rnacentral:rRNA from 1 species
GUUAGUGGCGGAUGGGUGAGUAACGCGUGGGGAACCUACCCUUUAGAGGGGAAUAAUCACGAGAAAUUGUGACUAAUACCGCGUAAUGUGCUGAAAUCGCAUGAUUUUAGUAAGAAAGACGGCCUCUAUUUAUAAGCUGUCGCUAAAGGAUGGACCCGCGUCUGAUUAGAUAGUUGGUGAGGUAACGGCUCACCAAGUCAACGAUCAGUAGCCGGCCUGAGAGGGUGAACGGCCACAUUGGGACUGAGACACGGCCCAAACUCCUACGGGAGGCAGCAGUGGGGAAUCUUCCGCAAUGGGCGCAAGCCUGACGGAGCAAUGCCGCGUGAGUGAGGAAGGCCUUCGGGUUGUAAAGCUCUGUCCUUAUCCAAGAGAGAGGUAUAUAGUAACUGAUGUACCUAGGACGGUAGAUAAGGAGGAAGCCCCGGCUAACUAUGUGCCAGCAGCCGCGGUAAAACAUAGGGGGCAAGCGUUGUCCGGAAUCACUGGGCGUAAAGGGCGCGUAGGCGGUCUGUUAAGUCGGAUGUGAAAUGUAAGGGCUCAACCCUUAACGUGCAUCCGAUACUGAUAGACUUGAGUACGGAAGAGGUAAGUGGAAUUCCUAGUGUAGCGGUGAAAUGCGUAGAUAUUAGGAGGAACACCAGUGGCGAAGGCGACUUACUGGGCCGUAACUGACGCUGAGGCGCGAAAGCGUGGGGAGCAAACAGGAUUAGAUACCCUGGUAGUCCACGCCGUAAACGAUGAGUACUAGGUGUUGGGUAUAUUGAUAUAUUCGGUGCCGCAGUUAACACAAUAAGUACUCCGCCUGGGGAGUACGAUCGCAAGAUUGAAACUCAAAGGAAUUGACGGGGGCCCGCACAAGCGGUGGAGCAUGUGGUUUAAUUCGAAGCAACGCGAAGAACCUUACCAAGUCUUGACAUCUCUCUGAAAGCUUGUGGAAACAUGAGCCCCUCUUCGGAGCUAGGGAAGACAGGUGGUGCAUGGUUGUCGUCAGCUCGUGUCGUGAGAUGUUGGGUUAAGUCCCGCAACGAGCGCAACCCUUAUGCUUAGUAGCCAGCAGCUUAGGCUGGGCACUCUAGGCAGACUGCCAGGAAUAACCUGGAGGAAGGUGGGGAUGACGUCAAAUCAUCAUGCCCCUUAUGAUUUGGGCUACACACGUGCUACAAUGGCGUUUAACAGAGGGAAGCGAGCCCGCGAGGGGGAGCAAAUCCCAAAAACAACGUCCCAGUUCGGACUGUAGUCUGCAACCCGACUACACGAAGCUGGAAUCGCUAGUAAUCGCGAAUCAGAAUGUCGCGGUGAAUACGUUCCCGGGUCUUGUACACACCGCCCGUCACACCAUGGGAGUCGAUAACGCCCGAAGCCG